rnacentral:rRNA from 1 species
GACGAACGCUGGCGGCGUGCCUAAUGCAUGCAAGUCGAACGCACAGUUUAUACCGUAGCUUGCUACACCAUAGACUGUGAGUUGCGAACGGGUGAGUAACGCGUAGGUAACCUGCCUGGUAGCGGGGGAUAACUAUUGGAAACGAUAGCUAAUACCGCAUAAUAUUAAUUAUUGCAUGAUAAUUAAUUGAAAGGUGCAAUUGCACCACUACCAGAUGGACCUGCGUUGUAUUAGCUAGUAGGUGAGGUAACGGCUCACCUAGGCGAGGAUACAUAGCCGACCUGAGAGGGUGAUCGGCCACACUGGGACUGAGACACGGCCCAGACUCCUACGGGAGGCAGCAGUAGGGAAUCUUCGGCAAUGGACGAAAGUCUGACCGAGCAACGCCGCGUGAGUGAAGAAGGUUUUCGGAUCGUAAAGCUCUGUUGUAAGAGAAGAACGGGUGUGAGAGUGGAAAGUUCACACUGUGACGGUAUCUUACCAGAAAGGGACGGCUAACUACGUG